rnacentral:rRNA from 1 species
CCUACGGGAGGCAGCAGUGGGGAAUUUUGGACAAUGGGCGAAAGCCUGAUCCAGCAAUGCCGCGUGAGUGAAGAAGGCCUUCGGGUUGUAAAGCUCUUUUGUCAGGGAAGAAACGGUGAGGGCUAAUAUCCCUUGCUAAUGACGGUACCUGAAGAAUAAGCACCGGCUAACUACGUGCCAGCAGCCGCGGUAAUACGUAGGGUGCAAGCGUUAAUCGGAAUUACUGGGCGUAAAGCGUGCGCAGGCGGUUUUGUAAGUCUGUCGUGAAAUCCCCGGGCUCAACCUGGGAAUUGCGAUGGAGACUGCAAGGCUAGAAUCUGGCAGAGGGGGGUAGAAUUCCACGUGUAGCAGUGAAAUGCGUAGAGAUGUGGAGGAACACCGAUGGCGAAGGCAGCCCCCUGGGUCAAGAUUGACGCUCAUGCACGAAAGCGUGGGGAGCAAACAGGAUUAGAUACCCUGGUAGUCCACGCCCUAAACGAUGUCUACUAGUUGUCGGGUUUUAAUAACUUGGUAACGCAGCUAACGCGUGAAGUAGACCGCCUGGGGAAGUACGGUCGCAAGNUUAAACCUAAAUUGAGUAGAGNGNGNGAGNGCGAGAGACGACGAGGAGAG